rnacentral:tRNA from 1 species
UCCGGUGUAGCUCAACGGUAGAGCGGCUGCCUGUUAAGCAGCAUGUUGCUGGUUCGAAUCCAGCCGCCGGAG